UCAUGAUGAACGCUAGCUACAGGCUUAACACAUGCAAGUCGAGGGGCAGCAUUUCAGUUUGCUUGCAAACUGGAGAUGGCGACCGGCGCACGGGUGAGUAACACGUAUCCAACCUGCCGAUAACUCGGGGAUAGCCUUUCGAAAGAAAGAUUAAUACCCGAUGGCAUAAUUAGACCGCAUGGUCUUAUUAUUAAAGAAUUUCGGUUAUCGAUGGGGAUGCGUUCCAUUAGGCAGUUGGUGAGGUAACGGCUCACCAAACCUUCGAUGGAUAGGGGUUCUGAGAGGAAGGUCCCCCACAUUGGAACUGAGACACGGUCCAAACUCCUACGGGAGGCAGCAGUGAGGAAUAUUGGUCAAUGGACGAGAGUCUGAACCAGCCAAGUAGCGUGAAGGAUGACUGCCCUAUGGGUUGUAAACUUCUUUUAUAUGGGAAUAAAGUUUUCCACGUGUGGAAUUUUGUAUGUACCAUAUGAAUAAGGAUCGGCUAACUCCGUGCCAGCAGCCGCGGUAAUACGGAGGAUCCGAGCGUUAUCCGGAUUUAUUGGGUUUAAAGGGAGCGUAGGUGGACAGUUAAGUCAGUUGUGAAAGUUUGCGGCUCAACCGUAAAAUUGCAGUUGAUACUGGCUGUCUUGAGUACAGUAGAGGUGGGCGGAAUUCGUGGUGUAGCGGUGAAAUGCUUAGAUAUCACGAAGAACUCCGAUUGCGAAGGCAGCUCACUGGACUGCAACUGACACUGAUGCUCGAAAGUGUGGGUAUCAAACAGGAUUAGAUACCCUGGUAGUCCACACAGUAAACGAUGAAUACUCGCUGUUUGCGAUAUACAGUAAGCGGCCAAGCGAAAGCAUUAAGUAUUCCACCUGGGGAGUACGCCGGCAACGGUGAAACUCAAAGGAAUUGACGGGGGCCCGCACAAGCGGAGGAACAUGUGGUUUAAUUCGAUGAUACGCGAGGAACCUUACCCGGGCUUAAAUUGCAUUUGAAUAAUCUGGAAACAGGUUAGCCGCAAGGCAAAUGUGAAGGUGCUGCAUGGUUGUCGUCAGCACGUGCCGUGAGGUGUCGGCUUAAGUGCCAUAACGAGCGCAACCCUUAUCUUUAGUUACUAACAGGUCAUGCUGAGGACUCUAGAGAGACUGCCGUCGUAAGAUGUGAGGAAGGUGGGGAUGACGUCAAAUCAGCACGGCCCUUACGUCCGGGGCUACACAUGUGUUACAAUGGGGGGUACAGAAGGCAGCUACCUGGUGACAGGAUGCUAAUCCCAAAAGCCUCUCUCAGUUCGGAUCGAAGUCUGCAACCCGACUUCGUGAAGCUGGAUUCGCUAGUAAUCGCGCAUCAGCCAUGGCGCGGUGAAUACGUUCCCGGGCCUUGUACACACCGCCCGUCAAGCCAUGAAAGCCGGGGGUACCUGAAGUACGUAACCGCAAGGAGCGUCCUAGGGUAAAACUGGUA
rnacentral:rRNA from 1 species